rnacentral:misc_RNA from 1 species
AAGUCGUAACAAGGUUUCCGUAGGUGAACCUGCGGAAGGAUCAUUACCGAACAACCACGCCCCCGUCGCUGUCGUCUCGAUCACCCGAUCGUGACGGCGCGCGGGGACGGACCCCUGUGAACGCGUUUCCGUCUUUGGUGUCCUCAACGCCCGCUCAGGCGGCGCGCUGGGGCCCAAUCUUUUUCAUUUACCCCAUCUCUUCUGAAUGCUGACUGAAGUAAAGUCGAGGUGUGCGCUCUGCUCUUCGGGGCUCUGCUGCAUUGCUUUCGGCGUGGUCAACGCACCUCCCUCGUGGCGGGCGUCGACGACAAUAACUUGUGACAACUUUUAACAACGGAUAUCUUGGUUCAC